rnacentral:rRNA from 1 species
UCACCAGAGUAACAAUUGGAGGGCAAGUCUGGUGCCAGCAGCCGCGGUAAUUCCAGCUCCAAUAGCGUAUAUUAAACUUGUUGCAGUUAAAAAGCUCGUAGUUGAAUUUUUGCGUGGUGUUAAUAUUGACUGAUGUCGAGAUUGCACUUCGCUUUUGGGAUUUAUCCCUUUUUACUUUGAGAAAAUUAGAGUGUUUCAAGCAGACUUUUGUCUUGAAUACUUCAGCAUGGAAUAAUAGAGUAGGACUUUGGUUCUAUUUUGUUGGUUUGUGAACCUUAGUAAUGGUUAAUAGGAACGGUUGGGGGCAUUCGUAUUUAACUGUCAGAGGUGAAAUUCUUAGAUUUGUUAAAGACGAACUACUGCGAAAGCAUUUGCCAAGGACGUUUUCAUUAAUCAAGAACGAAAGUUAGGGGAUCGAAGACGAUCAGAUACCGUCGUAGUCCUAACCAUAAACUAUGCCGACUAGGGAUUGGAGGUCGUCAUUUUUCCGACUCCUUCAGCACCUUGAGAGAAUCAA